AAAGACUUAGUCCUAACCUUACCGUUAAUUCUAGCUAGACAUAUACAUGCAAGUAUCCGCACUCCAGUGUAGAUGCCCUUAAUCUCUUCCCUUCUAAUAAGAUAAAGGAGCGGACUUCAGGCACGCCCUAGCAGCCCAAGACUUCUUGCUCAGCCACACCCUCACGGGUAUUCAGCAGUAAUUAACAUUAAGCAAUAAGUGAAAACUUGACUUAGUCAUAGCUAUCAAGGGCCGGUAAAUCUUGUGCCAGCCACCGCAGUCACACAAGAGGCCCAAAUUAACUGUCCACGGCGUAAAGAGUGGUAGAACAUUAUCCAGGAGACUAGGACUAAAGCACAACUAAGCUGUCAUAAGCUAAAGAUGUACCUAAAACCAACUAUUAAGACGAUCUUAGUCUCAUACGAUUAAUUAAACACCACGAAAGCCAGGGCCCAAACUGGGAUUAGAUACCCCACUAUGCCUGGCCCUAAAUCUUGAUGCGCUGCCCCACCAAGCCAUCCGCCUGGGAACUACGAGCACAAACGCUUAAAACUCUAAGGACUUGGCGGUGCCCCAAACCCACCGAGAGGAGCCUGUUCUGUAAUCGAUAACCCACGAUAUACCCAACCUCCCCUUGCCAGGCAGCCUACAUACCGCCGUCUACAGCUCGCCCUUCUUGAAGGUCCAAUAGCGGGCAUGAUAGCCCCGAUUCUCGCUAAUAAUACAGGUCAAGGUAUAGCUAAUGGGGUGGAAGAAAUGGGCUACAUUUUCUAAAAUAGAAUACCCGACAACCGAAAAGGGGUGUGAAACCACCCCUGGAAGGCGGAUUUAGCAGUAAAAAGAGACAAUAAAGCUCCCUUUAAACUGGCCCUAGGGCACGUACAUACCGCCCGUCACCCUCCUCACAGGCUAGCAAAUUAACCAUAACUAAUUCAUCCACAAGCUAAAGAUGAGGUAAGUCGUAACAAGGUAAGUGUANNNNNNNNNNNNNNNNNNNNNN
rnacentral:rRNA from 11 species